rnacentral:tRNA from 2 species
CCUUCGAUAGCUCAGUUGGUAGAGCGGUGGACUGUAGAGGACGUUCUUGUAGGCAUCCAUAGGUCGCUGGUUCAAAUCCGGCUCGAAGGA